GAUGAACGCUGGCGGCGUGCUUAACACAUGCAAGUCGAACGGAAAGGCCCUGCUUUUGUGGGGUGCUCGAGUGGCGAACGGGUGAGUAACACGUGAGUAACCUGCCCUUGACUUUGGGAUAACUUCAGGAAACUGGGGCUAAUACCGGAUAGGAGCUCCUGCUGCAUGGUGGGGGUUGGAAAGUUUCGGCGGUUGGGGAUGGACUCGCGGCUUAUCAGCUUGUUGGUGGGGUAGUGGCUUACCAAGGGUUUGACGGGUAGCCGGCCUGAGAGGGUGAUCGGCCACAAUGGGACUAAGGUACGGCCCAGACUCCUACGGGAGGCAGCAGUGGGGAAUAUUGCACAGUGGGCGGGAGCGUGAUGCGGCAACGCCGCGUGCGGAAUGACGGCCUUCGGGUUAUAAACCGCUUUCGCCUGUGACGAAGCGUGAGUGACGGUAAUGGGUAAAGAAGCACCGGCUAACUACGUG
rnacentral:rRNA from 1 species